ACAAUAUGACACACUAACAGUAUGGCCCUGUAACAUCAGUCAACUCAAAAAUGAGCCAUUUUUGGUACAUAAUCUCCGUAAACCAGAAGGAAAUCUGACAUGUGUCCUAUUCAUGAUAUAUAUAUAUAUAUAUUUAUUUUUCUUCUCUAAAAAAAGGUUUGUUGUACAAUUAAAAAAUAAACCCUGCAUUUAAAACAGUCAGCGAUAAUUGAAUAAAUUCAGGGCUUGUGAACCUCAAGACAAAUAUAAGAUUUCCACAACCAUAAAACACACUGAUCAAAUUAUUUUAUUAAAAAUAGUUUAACCUGAUUUAUUUGAAAUAAUCACUGAUCUUGUUUUUAAUUCUGUUUAUACAAAUGCCCUUUUUUUGUCGUCGUUAUAAAAUGUCCCCAGAACCUAAUGCAUAAUGCACAUUCACUAAUACUGUAGCAGGCAUUAGGCUGUAGAACAUCAACACGGGUCUCAUUUCUAUGGAACGCCAUUUGGGUCAAAAAGAGAUAAAACAUCAACACGGGUCUCAUUUCUAUGGAACGCCAUUUGGGUCAAAAAGAGAUAAAACAGCAACACAGGUCUCAUUUCUAUGGAACGCCAUUUGGGUCAAAAAGAGAUAAAACAUCAACACGGGUCUCAUUUCUAUGGAACGCCAUUUGGGUCAAAAAGAGAUAAAACAUCAACACGGGUCUCAUUUCUAUGGAACGCCAUUUGGGUCAAAAAGAGAUAAAACAUCAACACGGGUCUCAUUUCUAUGGAACGCCAUUUGGGUCAAAAAGAGAUAAAACAUCAACACGGGUCUCAUUUCUAUGGAACGCCAUUUGGGUCAAAAAGAGAUAAAACAUCAACACGGGUCUCAUUUCUAUGGAACGCCGUUUGGGUCAAAAAGAGAUAAAACAUCAACACGGGUCUCAUUUCUAUGGAACGCCAUUUGGGUCAAAAAGAGAUAAAACAUCAACACGGGUCUCAUUUCUAUGGAAC